rnacentral:lncRNA from 1 species
UUCGGGGGUAUGAAUAACCAAGACGUUCACUUUCCUGUUGACAUGACAUUUCGUUGACAUGAUUGAUAUGUUUAUCUUUUUUUUUAAUUAACAGCUGCAUUAUUCGAACACUAAUUUUUGUUUACAUCUUUGCAUACAUUACAUUAGUGUUAAUUAUCAUAACUUUUCGAAAUUGUUCAUCAGCAUCUCAACUUUAUUAUUUGAG